rnacentral:rRNA from 1 species
AGAGGGUGCGAGCGUUGUCCGGAAUCACUGGGCGUAAAGGGCGCGUAGGUGGCCUGGUAAGUAGGGGGUGAAAUCUCGAGGCUCAACUUCGAGGCUGCCUCCUAAACUGUCAGGCUCGAGCAGAGUAGAGGCAGGUGGAAUUCCCGGUGUAGCGGUGGAAUGCGUAGAGAUCGGGAAGAACAUCGGUGGCGAAGGCGGCCUGCUGGGCUCUUGCUGACACUGAUGCGCGACAGCGUGGGGAGCAAACAGGAUUAGAUACCCUGGUAGUCCACGCCGUAAACGAUGGGUACUAGGCGCCGGGGGGAGCGACCCCUUCGGUGCCGUCGCUAACGCAAUAAGUACCCCGCCUGGGGAGUACGGCCGCAAGG